CAUGGACAAUAGCACGUUGAAUACACCAGUUCCCAAUCGAUCACUGGAGUUAAGCAACAUCGUGCGUGGUUAUUAUCUGGAUGAGUGACCACCUCAGACAACACGUGCUGCCAAGU
rfam:Asian citrus Psyllid, Diaphorina citri - Florida Strain, whole genome shotgun sequence.